GGUUGUGGUUCAGUGGUAGAGCGCUCGCCUAGCAUGUGGGAGGCCCUGGGUUCCAUCCUCAGCACCA
rnacentral:tRNA from 1 species